ACCGUAAGGCCUCGCGCGAUUGGAGCGGCCGAUGUCAGAUUAGGUAGCUGGUGGGUAAAGGCUCACCAAGCCAACGAUCUGUAGUUGGUCUGAGAGGACGACCAGCCACACUGGGACUGAGACACGGCCCAGACUCCUACGGGAGGCAGCAGUGGGGAAUAUUGGACAAUGGGCGCAAGCCUGAUCCAGCAAUGCCGCGUGGAUGAAGAAGGUCUUCGGAUUGUAAAGUCCUUUCGGCGGGGACGAUGAUGACGGUACCCGCAGAAGAAGCCCCGGCUAACUUCGUG
rnacentral:rRNA from 1 species